GCUUUCAAUAUAAGCAUCACUUAAGAGAUCAGUGGGCGAGUUUUCAAGGCGGUGCCAAUACAUAAACAUUUGAAUUACUAUGUUAAUAUAUAAAGGAAAUCUACCUAGCUCUGAUAUAACUCCAAUAUUUGUGCAAUUUUUGGAGACACCAAGUACAUAUUUGCAAAAUUUAAGAUUUAAUUUAUCAGGUUCCCAAUCUUUGAAGAUUUCAAAAAGAUGCAUGGCUCUUCUUUUUGGAGUCAAAUUUAACAUACCCCAUAUUUCACAGCCAUAUAAAGCUAUUGGUUUGAUGGUGUGAUCAAAUAUAU
rnacentral:lncRNA from 1 species